GACGAACGCUGGCGGCGUGCUUAACACAUGCAAGUCGAACGGAAAGGCCCUGCUUUUGUGGGGUGCUCGAGUGGCGAAAGGGUGAGUAACACGUGAGUAACCUGCCCUUGACUUUGGGAUAACUUCAGGAAACUGGGGCUAAUACCGGAUAGGAGCUCCUGCUGCAUGGUGGGGGUUGGAAAGUUUCGGCGGUUGGGGAUGGACUCGCGGCUUAUCAGCUUGUUGGUGGGGUAGUGGCUUACCAAGGCUUUGACGGGUAGCCGGCCUGAGAGGGUGACCGGCCACAUUGGGACUGAGAUACGGCCCAGAAUCCUACGGGAGGCAGCAGUGGGGAAUAUUGCACAAUGGGCGGAAGCCUGAUGCAGCAACGCCGCGUGCGGGAUGACGGCCUUCGGGUUGUAAACCGCUUUCGCCUGUGACGAAGCGUGAGUGACGGUAAUGGGUAAAGAAGCACCGGCUAACUACGUG
rnacentral:rRNA from 1 species